UGUGCUGAACAUUAAAUAAAAUCAAAUCCCAGACGAAUAAUCGGGAUUCAUUUAAUAAGUGUUUAGUUAUUUUAUGCCAGUGCCACGUGCCAGUGCGGCUAGUACCAAAUUAUCACCCUAUUAUGCAACCGGCUAUCUGGAGGCCGAAAUGGAUGAAAUAUGGGAAUUAACUAGUGCAGAGAUUCGACGCGGGAUCGCAAUCUUUUGAUAAAUAUUUUUGGAUUCGACGACAAGCCCCCUUUUCGCUACACGGAGAGAAAACUCCGGCGAAUUAUUUAUAAAUUUGUAACUAUAAGAAGUGCAAUUAUGUGAAUAUUGGCCUGCUGAAUUUUAUUCAAAGCUCAAAUCCCUUUUGUUAAUUAUGAAAUUAUUCUGCGGAAAGAAAGAAUAUUGUAUCUUAAUUCGAAUUUUGCACACCCUUCAGUUUUUUUUAAAUAAUUAAUAUCUUAAUAUCCGUUGUUAUUUUAUUAUAAAUAUAUAGAUUUAUGUAAAUAUAUAUAUAUAAGUGAUAUGAAAAUAUAAGGAAAGAAUUUAGAUUGAAUUAAAUAAUGAUAACUUUGCGAUAAUAUUCGAGCAUGGCCAGGCUAAUUUAUUGUUCUAUUUAAAUUAAUAAUUAUAAACAUCUCUAGCUAUUCCUGUCCUUGAGCUCAACGGCGGCGAACAUCGGUGAGUGAAUAUCCCUAAAUUAAAUUUUAAUAGUUUUGCGAAGCAAACAGUAAAUUUUAGCGAGGCAUGAAUUGAAUAAUUUUGGAUUAAUAAU